UCUCCGUAGGUGAACCUGCGGAGGGAUCAUUACAGAGUUCAUGCCCUACCGGGUAGAUCUCCCACCCUAUGUUAUUAUUACUUAGUUGCUUUGGCGGGCCGUUAGGCUCCGGCCCGACUACCGGCCCCGGCUGGUAAGCGCCCGCCAGAGGACCCAAAACCCUGAAUAUUAGUGUCGUCUGAGUACUAUAUAAUAGUUAAAACUUUCAACAACGGAUCUCUUGGCUCUG
rnacentral:misc_RNA from 1 species